GCAUGUAGUGUAGUGGUUUGAAUGCUGGACCUCGACUCUGGAGACCAGGGUUCAAAUCCCUCCUCAGCC